UCUUUUGCCUCUGUGCAAAACUGCGCAAACUUAGUUGUAGAGGUUUGCCCUUUAACUUGUAGCUACUGGAUAUAUGUGCUGGGUACUUCCACUUACAUUUCAGGUACUGCUCACUGCCAUACAUUAAAAUACAGAAAAUGCUCUUGGUCAAAACUGAAGUCUGUUUUUUUUGGAUGGUAUUAUGUUAUACCUCUUUUGCUUCAAUGGGCUCCACUAGGCUCUGCGGUGCUCCUGUCAUGCAGCUUUGGGUCCACCUCUCUGGGCAUUAGCCCUGGCCAUGGCUGGGUGGUGUGGAACCAGGGCUCUGGUUCUGGUGCCAGCCUGGUCAACAUCACGUCCUCUGGGAAGGUGGACUUUCCGGACCCCAGGCAGGGCAGAGUGAAGGCUUUCCCCAAUCAGGGAGGUCUGGGGAACUUCUCCAUCCUAAUCGAUGCCCUUCAGGCCUCAGACGUGGGCUCCUACUGUUGUGAGCUGCAGAGUCAUGACCAGUGCCAUCGAGUGGAAGUUGAAGAACUUGAAGAAGGUAACACUAUGCUAGUAUCUACAGUAAUAUGUUGUUCCAACGGCUCAGUUGGUUGGAGAAUGGUGCUUGUAACAACACCUGAGUUGUAGAUUUGAUUCCUUCUUGCAACCUCAACAGAAUAUUUGGAUCAAGAGAAAGUCCCUUUAUUGUUACAUGAGAACAAUAAUCUCUUAUACUGUUAUAUCUGAAGAUAUAGGACCCUUUCAAGUCACCAGUAAUGAGUCAAAAUAAUUGGUGAAGGUUUCAUACAUGACAGUGCUUUUGGAAAGUAUUCAGACCCCUUGACGUUUUCCACAUUUUGUUAGGUUACAGCCUUGUUCUAAAAUUACCCCAUAAUGACAAAUAAAAAACUGUUUUUUAGAAAUGUUUGCUAAUUUAUAAAAAAUGAAAAACAGAAAUAUAACAUUUACAUACUGUAACUAUUCAGACCCUUUACUCAGUACUUUGUUGAAGCACUUUUGGCAGCAAUUACAGCCUCGGGUCUUCUUGGGUAUGACGCUACAAGCUCGGCACACCUGUAUUUGAGGAGUUUCUCCCCUUCCAAAGAGUUGAACCUUGGUUUCAUCAAACUAGAGAAUCUAGUUUCUCAUGGUCUGAGAGUCUUUAGGUGCCUUUUGGCAAACUCCAAGCUGGCUGUCAUGUGUCUUUUACUGAAAAGUGGCUUCUGUCUGGCCUGUCUACCAUAAAGGCCUGAUUGGUGAAGUGCUGCAGAGAUGGUCGUCCUUCUGGAAGAUUCUCCCAUCUCCACAGAGGAACUCUGUGUGUUUUUUUUCUUGUAUUUCAGCAGUGGUGUAAAGUGCUUAAGUAAAAAUACUUUAAAGUACUACUUAAGUAGUUUUUUUGGGUAUCUGUACUUAACUUUACCAUUUAUAUUUUUUACAACUUUUACUUUUACAAAAAGUACUUUUUACUCUGUACAUUUUCCCUGACACCCAAAAGUACUCGUUACAUUUUGAAUGCUUAGCAGGACAGAAAACAUCAAAUUCAUGCACUUAUCAAGAGAACAUCCCUGGUCAUCUCUACUACCUCUGAUCUGGCAACUCACUAAACACAAAUGCUUUGUUUCUGAAUGAUGUCUGAGUGUUAGAGUGUCCCCCUGGCUAUCUGUAAAUUUAUAAAACAUGAACAAUUGCCAUCUGGUUUGCUUAAUAUAAGGAAUUUGAAAUGAUUUAUACUUUUAAUAAUUAAGUACAUUUUUGCAAUUACAUUUACUUUUGAUACUUAAGUAUAUUUAAAACCAAAUACUUUUGGACUUAUACUCAAGUAGUAUUUUACUGGGUGCCUUUCACUUUUACUUGAGUCAUUUCCUAUUAAGGUAUCUUUACUUUUACUCAAGUAUGACAAUUGGGUACUUUUUCCACAACUAUGUCAGUUUAUAUUAUUUUAGAAAUUAGCAAAAAUUUCUCAAAGUCAGUUUUUUCUUUGUCAUUAUGGGGUAUUGUGUGUAGAUUGCUGAGGUGUUUUUUAAAACAAUUUCAUCCAUUUUAGAAUACGGCUGUAACGUAACCAAACGUGGAAAAAGUCAAGCAUGUGGUCGGUUUUUCCUUCCAGGGUUACUUUCUGUAAAGGCAAACACAUUUCUGGUGGUUUUAGACUCAGCAGCUCUCUCGCUUAUUGUUUCUGUUUCCUGUAAGAUACAGGAAUGUGAAUAAAACCACCUCUUCCUCUUUACUCGUCUAGGUUCACACAUCGUGUUGUUUUUCAGCGUCGGCAGUUUGGCCAUCCUCCUAGUGCUCCUAAGUGGCUGUUUCUGCUGAGUGAAAUGGACACGUGAGCACCCCCAUUGUUCCAUCUGACUCACUCAGUUUUACUUCUGCAUUGGAAUGAUAUGGAUGAAGCAGCUAGCACGGCAUGCACAGUAUACAGUAUGCUUCAUUGAGUACAGCAACAGUUAUUUGGGCUAAUCCGAACCUUCCUAUGAGCGUUAAGCAGCAUCCUUUCUUUCUGAUGUAAAUGUUAUUAUGUUGAUUGUGCAACUUUGCAAGCUGCUUCCAUGUCAGUUAAGUAGCUACAUAUCCCACUGAAAAUAUGCACAUUGCACAGUUUAAACAGGCCUGUAGGCAUGUCUUAAUGCCACCCAGUAUACGCUUUAGAAAGAGGAACUGCAGGGAUGCAGUGGUAGAACAUUUCAAAGUAGCCUAAUAUGUUUGUGAAAUGUGAUGUACUUGUACUUCCAAAAUAUACAUUACCCCUUGAAAAAGUGAUAAUCUUAUAGAAGUGCCCUUUCUUGUUUUAGGAGUUUCUACUGAAAGAACACCAGACUAUAUCAACACCCAUUUCUGUGCAGGUUGGGCCUCUAUGCUCUUGUUCUAAUCCUCAAUGUUCAUUUUAAUUUUUUGAGAAAGAGAAUGUAUUACUGCUAUGGCAUUUGAGCACCACUUUCAAAUCUGAUUGAAACAUGAAAUUAGUGUAGAAUUCUGUAUAAUAUCACAGGAUCCAGUGCACCUCCUGAGGAUGUUGCAUGUAGUGACAAUGUCGGGAGAGAUGUGGUACAGGAGAGAGGUAAAAGACGUACACACAUAGGCUAAAACAGCAUGUGCUCACACUCAAACACACACACGCGCAUGCACAUGCACACACAAACACAGUGUUUUAUUAUGUCUAUGUGGUUAAGAUUCUUCAACAUUACAGCAUCACUCUAUAUUUACUAAACAAGACCACAGACUGAUGCAGACUGAUGCUCACAUCUGGUUUUUGUCUUAAUUUAGGAGUCGGCAAUGAGCGACCGAUCUAUGGUAAGUUUACGCUUCUAGAUUUCCCAUUUUCUUUAAAUGCACUGGAAGGGAAUUGUAAAGUUGUUUUCUUUUCUACAUGGACCUAGUUUGAACUGUUCUUUUCCCACCUUUCAAUAGAAAACAAUGAACAUGAUCCAAC
ensembl:lncRNA